rnacentral:lncRNA from 1 species
GGAGGAGGCGGCAGCUGAGGAGCCGGCUGCGGCUGAGGAGGAGGCGGCAGCUGAGGAGCCGGCUGCAGCUGAGGAGGAGCCCGCAGCUGAGGAUCCGGCUGCGGCUGAGGAGGAGGCGGCACCUGAGGAGCCGGCUGCGGCUGAGGAGGAGCCCGCAGCUGAGGAGCCCGCAGAACCCGAGGAUGCGCCCGCAGCAGAGGAGCCGGCUGCAGCUGAGGAGGAGCCGGCAGCUGAGGAUCCGGCUGCGGCUGAGGAGGAGGCGGCACCUGAGGAGCCGGCUGCGGCCGAGGAGGAGGCGGCAGCUGAGGAGCCGGCUGCGGCUGAGGAGGAGGCGGCAGCUGUGGAGC